rnacentral:misc_RNA from 1 species
GAUGAAGAACGUAGCGAAAUGCGAUAAGUAGUGUGAAUUGCAGAAUUCAGUGAAUCAUCGAAUCUUUGAACGCACAUUGCGCCCCUUGGUAUUCCGAGGGGCAUGCCUGUUCGAGCGUCAUUAUAACCCUCAAGCUCAGCUUGGUGUUGGGGCCUGCUGCACUGGCAGCCCUUAAAAUCAGUGGCGGCGCCAUCUGGCUCUAAGCGUAGUAAUUCUUCUCGCUAUGGAGUCCUGGUGGAUGCUUGCCAUCAACCCCCAAUUUUUCUAUGGUUGACCUCGGAUCAGGUAGGGAUACCCGCUGAACUUAAGCAUAUCAAUAAGCGGAGGA